AUUAUUUUGUGUUCCGGUGUCUGAGUAAGGACUAAUUGCAGGUACUUACUAGCGGUAGGGUUUACGUCACUUCUUUUUGUAAAAUGUUCUUUUAAUUAUAAUCUUCAUCAUCUGGUGCCCAGAAGGAUUGAUGCCCGACUUUGUCUACCAGAUAUAAUAAAUACAAAAGUACCUUGUGUGUGACUCAUUAUAAACAGAGGAAGUACAAAGACGGAAUCGUUUCAGGCUAAUCCCCACCCCCUGGAGCCCGCUCAGAACUGUUCAUUUUAUUGUUAGAAAAGAGAAAUCCUCAAAGGCUCAUCAAUAAGAUUAAAAAAAGACAAAAAUAAAUAGCCUCGUAAACAGAAGAGCUGCUCUCCAAAAGCGAUGAUGCGCCUUCUGUUUAAGCCCAGCAGCGCUGAAAGAACUAAGCUGUGUUUUUCAGUGAUUCUUUCUUUUUUCCGUUAUCAUUAAAAAACAGGUGCCAACGAGCGGCGUCAUAUAUCUCUUUGUUUACAUCAUUUAUUUAAACUUAGCAAGUGUUUACGUCAGGUGAUACUAUAUUGAAAAUAUUGAGACAUUUAUUUCUAAAUAAAUUUAACGAAAUGAACUGUAUAAGGUUGCUUAGCUCUUUCAUCAUCGCAUUGUUUGUACAUUUGAUCGAGAUGAUGGUUUACGCGUUAGAGUGUAUUUAGCGUAAAUCAAAACGAUGUGAAUUUUGUUUGUAAUGUAGUUUAUAUAAUAAAGAGAGGUUUA
rnacentral:sRNA from 1 species